ensembl:lncRNA
GAGGUGGCGGUGCUGCUGGGCUCGUUUGUUCUUUCGUCUGUCCGUUCUCCCUUCGUAACAAGCCGCGGGUUCUGGGUUAGGGGUUCCUUGGGGGCGCUCGCCUUCCACAGAGCGAGCCUGAGGCACCCUCUGCCUUUCUGCUCUACUGGCUCGGUCCUUUACGGUGUUGCCUUGUAUGUGUGGCUUUGUCUCCUGUUGACUCCCGCGGUGACCUGCUGGUCGCAGGCAGGCUGCACGUACAAAAACGCACCUCACACGUGUGCCACGCUUUGUUUCUAAGCAGUCCUGGUGUCCGGAAAGCUCCAUUUGCUUCAGUGUAAGCAACGUGGUCUAGCAUGAAGUACUCCUGUCCAUAGCAGGGGUUGCAACUGGUGGUCUUCAAGUCCCCCCCAGCCCAAACGAGAGAGGAGGCUCAGGGGAGGUCUUAACACUCUCUAUGAAGACCUGAGAGGAGGUCGUUUCAAGCUGGGGAUUGCCCUCUUCUCCCAGCAGAAAAGGACAGCUGUUUACUGUGACCUCUGUCCAGCAAAGGCCCACAUACUUAGCAAGAGUUAACUCCUCCUUGUUAUGAGGAGUAAAAUGUGAGAAAAGUCAAGAAGUGUAAAUCUUCAAAGGAUAAUGUGCAGUUAGAUGCCAUUUGGCGUGAUGAAGAAUAUCACACUGCAGCCCGGAGAGGCAGUGACAUUAUUCAGGAAGCCUUGAGAAUCAAUAUUUCCUGUCUCCUACUCCUGUGCUGCUUCUCAAGGGCUGGUCAACAGAGGGCUGUGUGACCCAUAGGAGCAUAUGUUCUACGCACAGAUGUGCCUGUGUACUCCAGAUCUGGGAUUUCAUCAGGGAUAAAUAUUUCCUUUUUCUCCCGCAAGAAAUUAUUUUUCCUUCUGGAUGGAGUGGUGCAGAGAUGUGUACAGACAGAAUCUCGCAGACAUGCCCUUGCUACAAAGAAGACUGAUGUUAUCCUAGGCUUUGUUAGUCAGAAUCUCACCAACGGGUCAACGGAGGUGAUCUUUCCACUCAGGACAAGUGAUGCUACACAUGGAGCCCCGUGUCCACUUCUGGGCUCUACAGUACAAGAAAGACGUGGACUUGCUAGAGACAGUCCAAUGAAUGGCCAGAAAAAAACUAAGGGACUGUAACACCUGUUCUAUGAGGAAAGGCUGAGAGAGCUGGGACUGUUCAGCCUGUAUAAGAAAAGGCUCAGGGUGGAUACGUGAUGAGAUGGUGCAAAGAAGACAAAGCCAUUGGUACCCAGGGAUAGGACAAGAGUUAAUGUGCACAAACUGGAAUGCAGGAUUCUCCCUUUGAUCAUCCCGUAAUGCUUUCUUACUGUGCGAGUGACUGAAGAAUAGAGCAGGCUGUCCAGAGAGGCAGCGUGGUCUCCUUGGAGAUCUCCAAAAGCCACCUGGGCAUAUGCCUGGGCACUCUGCUCUAGGUGGCACUGCUUGAGCACAGACUGGACCAGAUGGACCCAGAGGUCUCUGACAACUUCAGCCAUUCUGUAAUUCCGUAUUUACAAAGUAAACAAAAGCACGGGUCUGAAUAUUUUCCUUUGCUGUGUGUCCUUGUGUUACUCUUGUUCUGUUCCCUGAUACAGCUGAAUAGAUACAAAACCAUGUGAAUGCAAGUAUGAAUUGACUUCAGUAAUCUCAAGAGAAAUAUUCAUGUGAAUAAAACUACUAAUGAACAGCCUUCUGUGUAACCUUAUUCUCUUUUGUAAUUUCCACCUUUAGAAUUAUAGCCUAUGAUCAAGGUAGUUUCAGUAUCAAAUUUAUGUUUUGAAGUAAGGAGGAUUAGUAAUUUCCAGAUAAGUUUUACAGAAGCUAAUAAGAUUUGACCAAAUAAACUUUCAUUGCUGCCUUCCAAAGUUAAAUCAUAGUCUUACAUAAACAAUAAAUUCCCCCAGUGAAUACCUGUUAAAUGGAUUUGCAAAUUGUGUUGCAGCCCAAUAAACAAACAAACAAAAUUAAUAAACAAACCCUUGAAUGUUCUUGUUAUACAAAUUGUGAAUUCAUUCCUGGCAAAGGCAAUACCUCCACAAAUCUCCAAGCCAUGUAAAAGCAGUGUGAACUUUUGAGUAUGAAACUUAUUCAUAGAAAAAAAAUGUGGUAAUUCUUAUGUGCGUAUUUUUACCUUGUGCCUGUCACUGGGACUGAAGAUUUAUUGCUACAAUACAUAUUAAAAGCAACCA